rnacentral:rasiRNA from 1 species
UCCUACGAGAUGGAAGCUUAUAUCGC